GGCGAACGCUGGCGGCGUGCCUAACACAUGCAAGUCGAACGGAAAGGCCCUGCUUUUGGCGGGUGUUCGAGCGGCGAACGGGUGAGUAACACGUGUGUAACCUGCCCCUGACUUGGGGAUAACUUCAGGUAACUGGGGCUAAUACCGCAUAGGAGCUCCUGCUGCAUGGUGGGGGUUGGAAAGUGUCGGCGGUUGGGGAUGGACGCGCGGCUGAUCGGCUUGUUGGUGUGGUAGUGGCUUACGCAGGCUCUGACGGAUAGGCGGCAUGUGAGGGGGGCCGGGGACAUGGGGCCUACGAGAGGGACCAGACGCGAACAGGAGGCAGCGGGGGGGAGUAUUGCGCAGUGGUCGGAAGUGUGAUACGGCGGCGCUGCGUGUGGAAUGUCGGCCUUGGGGGGAUGAACCGCUUUCGCCUGAGACGAAGCGUGAGUGACGGUAAUGGGUAAAGAAGCACCGGCUAACUACGUG
rnacentral:rRNA from 1 species